AUGAUUCCAAAAACUUUGUGUGAUGUGUUAGGUUUCCGUGAAUUUGAUGAUUGUUUCUUAAAUUUGCACCUUGCGGAUUCCACCAUUAAGAAACUUAUGGGAAGAAUUAAUGAUGUUAUUAUUGUCGCAAAUAGGAAUUAUGUGCCCAUAGAUUUCAUUGUCCUUGAUAUAGAUUGCAAUCCUACAUGUCCUAUUAUUCUUGGUAGACCUUUCCUUAGACCGAUUGGUGCAAUUAUUGAUCUGAAGGUAGGGAAUAUUAGAUUCCAAUUUCCGUUAAGGAAGGGUAUGACACUUUCCUAG
rnacentral:rRNA from 1 species